AACGAACGCUGGCGACGUGGAUAAGACAUGCAAGUCGAGCGGGAACUUUCGCUGUAGCAAUACAGUGAAAGUUCUAGCGGCGAACGGGUGCGUAACACGUGGACAAUCUGCCUUAAAGUGGGGGAUAGCUCGGCGAAAGCCGAAUUAAUACCGCAUGUGAUGAGAGACGACAUCGUCUUGAAAUCAAAGCCGGGGCAACCUGGCGCUUUUUGAGGAGUCCGCGGCCAUCAGCUUGUUGGUGAGGUAACGGCUCACCAAGGCUAUGACGGGUAGCUGGUCUGAGAGGACGACCAGUCACACUGGAACUGAGACACGGUCCAGACACCUACGGGUGGCAGCAGUCGAGAAUUUUUGACAAUGGGGAAACCCUGAUCGAGCGACGCCGCGUGGAGGA
rnacentral:rRNA from 1 species